UAGGGAAUCUUCCGCAAUGGGCGAAAGUCUGACGGAGCAACGCCGCGUGAGUGAUGAAGGUCUUCGGAUCGUAAAACUCUGUUAUUAGGGAAGAACAUAUGUGUAAGUAACUGUGCACAUCUUGACGGUACCUAAUCAGAAAGCCACGGCUAACUACGUGCCAGCAGCCGCGGUAAUACGUAGGUGGCAAGCGUUAUCCGGAAUUAUUGGGCGUAAAGCGCGCGUAGGCGGUUUUUUAAGUCUGAUGUGAAGGCCCACGGCUCAACCGUGGAGGGUCAUUGGAAACUGGAAAACUUGAGUGCAGAAGAGGAAAGUGGAAUUCCAUGUGUAGCGGUGAAAUGCGCAGAGAUAUGGAGGAACACCAGUGGCGAAGGCGACUUUCUGGUCUGUAACUGACGCUGAUGUGCGAAAGCGUGGGGAUCAAACAGGAUUAGAUACCCUGGUAGUCCACGCCGUAAACGAUGAGUGCUAAGUGUUAGGGGGUUUCCGCCCCUUAGUGCUGCAGCUAACGCAUUAAGCACUCCGCCUGAGGAGUACGACCGCAAGGUUG
rnacentral:rRNA from 1 species